rnacentral:rRNA from 1 species
GAUUGUUCACCCACCAAUAGGGAACGUGAGCUGGGUUUAGACCGUCGUGAGAUAGGUUAGUUUUGCCCUACUGAUGACAGUGUCGCAAUAGUAAUUCAACCUAGUACGAGAGGAAACGUUGAUUCACACAAUUAGUCAUAGCGCUUAGUUGAAAAGCCAGUGGCAUGAAGCUACCGUGCGCUGGAUUAUGACUGAACGCCUCUAAGUCAAAAUCCAUGCUAGAAGCGACGCAUGAGCCCGCCGCCUGCUUGCCGACCAGCAGUAGGGGCCAUUCGGCCCCCAAAUGCACGUGUCGUUGGUGAAGCCCGCGCGGCGGAUGAGUCGCACGGGCUGCCUUGAAGUACAAUUCCUAUCUCGAGCGGUGGGGUAUUGUAAGUGGCAGAGUGGCCUUGCUACCACGAUCCACUGAGAU